rfam:Schistocephalus solidus strain NST_G2 genome assembly, scaffold: SSLN_scaffold0007078
GGCCUCGUAGCUCAGUUGGCUAGAGCGAUGGCUUUACUAAAUAAAGCCUUCCCCUUGCUGGCGUGGGUUCGAAUCCCACCGAGGCCG